GACGAACGCUGGCGGCGUGCUUAACACAUGCAAGUCGAACGGAAAGGCCCUGCUUUUGUGGGGUGCUCGAGUGGCGAACGGGUGAGUAACACGUGAGUAACCUGCCCUUGACUUUGGGAUAACUUCAGGAAACUGGGGCUAAGACCGGAUAGGAGAUCCUGCUGCAUGGUGGGCGUUGGAAAGUUUCGGCGUGUGGGGAUGGACUCGCGGCUUAUCAGCUUGUUGGUGGGGUAGGGGCUUACCAAGGCUUUGACGGGUAGCCGGCAUGGGAGGGUGACCGGCCACAUGGGGACUGCGAUACGGCCCAGACUCCUACGGUAGGCAGAAGUGGGGAAUAUUGCCCAAUGGGCGCGAGCCUGAUGCAGCGGCGCCGCGUGCGGGAUGACGGCCUUCGGGUUGUAAACCGCUUUCGCCUGUGACGACGCGUGAGUGACGGUAAUGGGUAAAGAAGCACCGGCUAACUACGUG
rnacentral:rRNA from 1 species